rnacentral:tRNA from 1 species
GCCGCCGUGGUGAAAUUGGCAGACACGCCAGAUUCAGAGUCUGGUGCCUGCAAGGGCAUGGGGGUUCAAGUCCCUCCGGCGGCA